GCAGAUGAUGACUUAAACUUUCUUCACUUUGACCUGAGUGUAUUAGUGAUGAUAACCAUGUCUCUGAGC